UACGUAGGGUGCAAGCGUUGUCCGGAAUUAUUGGGCGUAAAGGGCGCGCAGGCGGCUACGCACGUCCGUUGUGAAAUCGCUCGGCUCAACUGGGCGGGGUCAGCGGAUACGGCGUAGCUGGAGCAAGCUAGGGGGCAAUGGAAUUCCCGGUGUAGUGGUGGAAUGCGUAGAUAUCGGAAGGAACAUCAGUUGCGAAGGCGGCUCUCUGGACCAGCACUGACACUGAGGCACGAAAGCGUGGGGAGCAAACAGG
rnacentral:rRNA from 1 species